CCUACGGGUGGCUGCAGUGGGGAAUAUUGGACAAUGGGGGGAACCCUGAUCCAGCCAUGCCGCGUGUGUGAAGACGGCCCUCGGGUUGUAAAGCACUUUCAGUGAGGAAGAACGCCUGGUGGUUAAUACCCAUCAGGAAAGACAUCACUCACAGAAGAAGCACCGGCUAACUCCGUGCCAGCAGCCGCGGUAAUACGGAGGGUGCGAGCGUUAAUCGGAAUUACUGGGCGUAAAGCGCGCGUAGGUGGCUUGAUAAGCCGGUUGUGAAAGCCCCGGGCUCAACCUUGGAACGGCAUCCGGAACUGUCAAGCUAGAGUGCAGGAGAGGAAGGUAGAAUUCCCGGUGUAGCGGUGAAAUGCGUAGAGAUCGGGAGGAAUACCAGUGGCGAAGGCGGCCUUCUGGACUGACACUGACACUGAGGUGCGAAAGCGUGGGUAGCAAACAGGAUUAGAUACCCCUGUAGUC
rnacentral:rRNA from 1 species